UUUCUGUGAGGAUGAGAACAGAUGACAAGUCAGAUUUUAACCACUCUAUUACACCCUAUGGAAAUCAAGACAUUUUUUUAAGAGAA